UACCAGCACCCCGAAGUGGUCGGGACGUUUAUUGGGCCUAAAGCAUCCGUAGCCGGUUCUACAAGUCUUCCGUUAAAUACCACCCUGCUUGAACAGAUGGGCUGCGGAAGAUACUAUAGAGCUAGGGAGGCGGGAGAGGCAAGCGGUACUCGAUGGGUAGGGGUAAAAUCCGUUGACUCCAUUGAAGACCACCAGUGGCGAAGGCGGCUUGCCAGAACGCGCUCGACGUGAGGGAUAGAAAGCUGGGGGAGCAAACCGG
rnacentral:rRNA from 1 species